AUGUUGGUGGAAGUAGCGGCAGAAAUGGCCAAAUGCGGUCCCUCGAUGCCAACGAGAAUGAGGCAAAAAUGGGGUUCCUCGGCGCUAGCGAGAAGGAGGCUGAUGGGUUCCAUGGAGCAAUAUAAUGCGGCGGCAAUAGCGUAUCAAGGUCCAUUUCCAGCCGGUGAAGAACUGAUGAAUGUUAUAUGUGUGAUUCAUACAUUCGUUGGUUUGAAGUGGAUUUCAACUAUUUUUAGUCUAUUACUAGCUAUAUCUUUUUCUAUACAUAUAAAAUUUGGCAUGUAUUAUGUUUACCGAUGCAACCAUUAA
rnacentral:rRNA from 1 species